GAGGNNNNUAGAAUUCCAGGUGUAGCGGUGAAAUGCGUAGAGAUCUGGAGGAAUACCGGUGGCGAAGGCGGCCCCCUGGACGAAGACUGACGCUCAGGUGCGAAAGCGUGGGGAGCAAACAGGAUUAGAUACCCUGGUAGUCCACGCCGUAAACGAUGUCGACUUGGAGGUUGUGCCCUUGAGGCGUGGCUUCCGGAGCUAACGCGUUAAGUCGACCGCCUGGGGAGUACGGCCGCAAGGUUAAAACUCAAAUGAAUUGACGGGGGCCCGCACAAGCGGUGGAGCAUGUGGUUUAAUUCGAUGCAACGCGAAGAACCUUACCUGGUCUUGACAUCCACAGAACUUUCCAGAGAUGGAUUGGUGCCUUCGGGAACUGUGAGACAGGUGCUGCAUGGCUGUCGUCAGCUCGUGUUGUGAAAUGUUGGGUUAAGUCCCGCAACGAGCGCAACCCUUAUCCUUUGUUGCCAGCGGUCCGGCCGGGAACUCAAAGGAGACUGCCAGUGAUAAACUGGAGGAAGGUGGGGAUGACGUCAAGUCAUCAUGGCCUUUACGACCAGGGCUACACACGUGCUACAAUGGCGCAUACAAAGAGAAGCGACCUCGUGAGAGCAAGCGGACCUCAUAAAGUGCGUCGUAGUCCGGAUUGGAGUCUGCAACUCGACUCCAUGAAGUCGGAAUCGCUAGUAAUCGUGGAUCAGAAUGCCACGGUGAAUACGUUCCCGGGCCUUGUACACACCGCCCGUCACACCAUGGGAGUGGGUUGCAAAAGAAGUAGGNNGCUUAACCUUCGGGAGGGCGCUUACCACUUUGUGAUUCAUGACUGGGGUGAAGUGGUAACAAGGUAACCGUAA
rnacentral:rRNA from 1 species